AAAUUUGAAAUCUGGUAGCCUUCGGCUGCCCGAGUUGUAAUCUAGAGAAGUGUUUUCCGUGCCGGCCCAUGUACAAGUCCCUUGGAACAGGGCGUCAUAGAGGGUGAGAAUCCCGUCCUUGACAUGGACCCCCGGUGCUUUGUGAUACACUUUCAACGAGUCGAGUUGUUUGGGAAUGCAGCUCAAAAUGGGUGGUGAAUUCCAUCUAAAGCUAAAUAUUGGCGAGAGACCGAUAGCGAACAAGUACCGUGAGGGAAAGAUGAAAAGCACUUUGGAAAGAGAGUUAAACAGUACGUGAAAUUGUUGAAAGGGAAACGAUUGAAGUCAGUCAUGCUCUUUGGAUUCAGCCGUUCUGCGGUGUAUUUCCAUUGAGUGGGGUCAACAUCAGUUUUGAUCGCUGGAUAAAGGCACUAGGAAGGUAGCACUCUCGGGUGAACUUAUAGCCUAGCGUCAUAUACAGUGAUUGGGACUGAGGAACGCAGCAUGCCUUUAUGGCCGGGAUUCGUCCACGUACAUGCUUAGGAUGUUGACAUAAUGGCUUUAAACGACCCGUCUUGAACCACGGACC
rnacentral:rRNA from 1 species